rnacentral:rRNA from 1 species
GAUGAACGCUGGCGGCGUGCCUAAUACAUGCAAGUCGAGCGAACGGACGAGAAGCUUGCUUCUCUGAUGUUAGCGGCGGACGGGUGAGUAACACGUGGAUAACCUACCUAUAAGACUGGGAUAACUUCGGGAAACCGGAGCUAAUACCGGAUAAUAUUUUGAACCGCAUGGUUCAAAAGUGAAAGACGGUCUUGCUGUCACUUAUAGAUGGAUCCGCGCUGCAUUAGCUAGUUGGUAAGGUAACGGCUUACCAAGGCAACGAUGCAUAGCCGACCUGAGAGGGGGAUCGGCCACAUUGGAACUGAGACACGGUCCAGACUCCUACGGGAGGCAGCAGUAGGGAAUCUUCCGCAAUGGGCGAAAGCCUGACGGAGCAACGCCGCGUGAGUGAUGAAGGUCUUCGGAUCGUAAAACUCUGUUAUUAGGGAAGAACAUAUGUGUAAGUAACUGUGCACAUCUUGACGGUACCUAAUCAGAAAGCCACGGCUAACUACGUG